UCAUCAUCGUCUCUGUGGGUGUAGCAGCACUCAUAACAGCUGUUGUGGUUGUGCGCGUAUGGACCAGAGGUAAAUCAGCACAGACGGCUGAAAAGACCGUGUGUAAUAAUGAAAAUAAUGCACUGUGAUAUUUUCUGCUCUUCUGAUGGAGUUUCACUGACCUUCCUGCCUCUGUCAGAGCCACCAAUCAGCAUCGACCUUUUUAAAAGACACAGCUCCUGCUCUUCCCGGCAGGGAGCGUCACGUAAAGUGCAGCGAUCCAGCAUCAAAUGCA